GGCCCUAUAGCUCAGUGGUUAGAGUACUGGUCUUGUAAACCAGGGGUCGCGAGUUCAAAUCUCGCUGGGGCCU
rnacentral:tRNA from 2 species